AAAAAUCAUCAUUCAAUGUAAAGAUAAUGAAUCUGGUCAGGUCUUGAUUGAAGCAGCCAUAAGUUUAAUUUCAUGUGAGUGAUGAUUUUUAAA
rfam:Candidatus Phytoplasma pruni strain CX contig00010, whole genome shotgun sequence.